rnacentral:rRNA from 1 species
GAUGAACGCUGGCGGCGUGCCUAAUACAUGCAAGUCGAGCGAACAGACGAGGAGCUUGCUCCUCUGACGUUAGCGGCGGACGGGUGAGUAACACGUGGAUAACCUACCUAUAAGACUGGGAUAACUUCGGGAAACCGGAGCUAAUACCGGAUAAUAUAUUGAACCGCAUGGUUCAAUAGCGAAAGACGGUUUUGCUGUCACUUAUAGAUGGAUCCGCGCCGCAUUAGCUAGUUGGUAAGGUAACGGCUUACCAAGGCAACGAUGCGUAGCCGACCUGAGAGGGUGAUCGGCCACACUGGAACUGCGACACGGUCCAGACCCCUACGGGAGGCAGCAGUCGGGAAUCUUCCGCAAUGGGCGAGAGCUUGACGGAGCAACGCCGCGUGCGUGAUGAAGGUCUUCGGAUCGUAAAACUCUGUUAUUAGGGAAGAACAAAUUUGUAAGUAACUAUGCACGUCUUGACGGUACCUAAUCAGAAAGCCACGGCUAACUACGUG